rnacentral:lncRNA from 1 species
CCAGCUACCACCAAGUCAGAAACUCUGGAGUUAUAACGAGGUUUUUCUCUCUGAUUAAGGUAUAAGGUUGUUAUGGGUUUACUGUCUUAAGUCUGCUCCCUCCUCCUGGGUCCCCUAGUUACUUCUUCUUAGGUACGGACUGCCUUUAUUUUGGCUUGCAAUUCGGCAUGGUGGGCAUCUGACUUUGUCCCACCCCCCUUCCCUUUCUAGCUCAUUCAAAACAAUGAAAGGUUCAUUAUCUCUUGUAUUUUAACCCAGCCAAAGCCAGAAAUGGGCUGAAGACGUCUGUUAACAUCUAAAUCCAGUGAAGAAAUUCUGCUGGACUUCUGAGAGCAGCGGAGAGAUACCCAGCACCCUAGUGAGAAGCCCGGAGCCAGGUCCAGGGAAAGCGCCACUUCUGCACGCUGGACACAGAUCCAUAUUCUUCCCCAGGCUCUCUGGGUUUGAACUGGCUCCCUUCAUUUCGUCAGAAAACUGCUGUCAGUGUGGUUCCUCUAACAUGCAAAUAUGUUCCUGUCAGUCACCUGUUUAGAAUUUUUCAACGGUCCAUUCACUUCUGUCAAUUGCA